UUGGUUAAGUUAGAAAGGGCGCACGGUGGAUGCCUUGGCACUAGGAGCCGAAGAAGGACGGGACUAACACCGAUAUGCUUUGGGGAGCUGUACGUAAGCGUUGAUCCAGAGAUUUCCGAAUGGGGGAACCCACUAUCUUUAGUCGGAUAGUAUCCUUACGUGAAUACAUAGCGUGAGGAAGGCAGACCCAGGGAACUGAAACAUCUAAGUACCUGGAGGAAGAGAAAGAAAAAUCGAUUUCCUGAGUAGCGGCGAGCGAAACGGAAAGAGCCCAAACCAAGAAGCUUGCUUCUUGGGGUUGUAGGACACUCUAUACGGAGUUACAAAAGAAAGUUAUAAAUGAAGCGGUCUGGAAAGGCCCGCCAAAGACGGUAACAGCCCGGUAGUUGAAAUGGCUUUCCCUCCAGAGUGGAUCCUGAGUACGGCGGAACACGUGAAAUUCCGUCGGAAUCCGGGAGGACCAUCUCCCAAGGCUAAAUACUCCCUAGUGACCGAUAGUGAACCAGUACCGUGAGGGAAAGGUGAAAAGCACCCCGGAAGGGGAGUGAAACAGUUCCUGAAACCGUGUGCCUACAAGUAGUUAGAGCCCGUUAAUGGGUGAUAGCGUGCCUUUUGUAGAAUGAACCGGCGAGUUACGAUUUGUUGCAAGGUUAAGCGGAAAAAGCGGAGCCGUAGCGAAAGCGAGUCUGAAUAGGGCGCAUAAGUAACAGGUCGUAGACCCGAAACCAGGUGAUCUACCCAUGUCCAGGAUGAAGGUAAGGUAAUACUUACUGGAGGUCCGAACCCACGCACGUUGAAAAGUGCGGGGAUGAGGUGUGGGUAGCGGAGAAAUUCCAAUCGAACUUGGAGAUAGCUGGUUCUCUCCGAAAUAGCUUUAGGGCUAGCCUCGAGGUAAAGAGUCAUGGAGGUAGAGCACUGUUUGGACUAGGGGCCCUUCUCGGGUUACCGAAUUCAGAUAAACUCCGAAUGCCAUGUACUUAUACUCGGGAGUCAGACUGCGAGUGAUAAGAUCCGUAGUCGAAAGGGAAACAGCCCAGACCACCAGUUAAGGUCCCCAAAUAUAUGUUAAGUGGAAAAGGAUGUGGGGUUGCUUAGACAACCAGGAUGUUGGCUUAGAAGCAGCCACCAUUGAAAGAGUGCGUAAUAGCUCACUGGUCGAGUGACCCCGCGCCGAAAAUGUACCGGGGCUAAACAUAUUACCGAAACUGUGGAUGAACCUCUUUAGAGGUUCGUGGUAGGAGAGCGUUCUAAGGGCGGUGAAGUCAGACCGGAAGGACUGGUGGAGCGCUUAGAAGUGAGAAUGCCGGUAUGAGUAGCGAAAGAAGGGUGAGAAUCCCUUCCACCGAAUAUCUAAGGUUUCCUGAGGAAGGCUCGUCCGCUCAGGGUUAGUCGGGACCUAAGCCGAGGCCGAUAGGCGUAGGCGAUGGACAACAGGUAGAGAUUCCUGUACCAGUGCUAAUUGUUUAACCGAUGGGGUGACACAGAAGGAUAGGGAAUCGCACGAAUGGAAAUGUGCGUCCAAGCAGUGAGUGUGAGAAGUAGGCAAAUCCGCUUCUCGCGAAGCAUGAGCUGUGAUGGGGAAGGAAAUUAAGUACGGAAGUUCCUGAUUUCACGCUGUCAAGAAAAGCCUCUAGGAAGAGUAGUACUGCCCGUACCGCAAACCGACACAGGUAGAUGAGGAGAGAAUCCUAAGGUGAGCGAGAGAACUCUCGUUAAGGAACUCGGCAAAAUGACCCCGUAACUUCGGGAGAAGGGGUGCUCUAU
rnacentral:rRNA from 1 species